AAGAUCAGAAGUCAGGAAAAAUCACAGAGAACUAUGAAGUGAAGAGGGAGAGCUGGGCAAGCAGGAAACAGCUGUGAUAUGGCCAACCCUGGAAACCUUGGAAUUUCCCAAAGAAGAUUAUCUUCCACCAUCAGGAUGCUUCAAGAGGUUCAAUGUAGAACUACUUUUCACUUGGAACUAGCCUUGAACUUGGGAGAGGAACCAGGGAGAAACAUUCUGGAGGUGGAGUGCAGAAAAUUUGGCAAACGAACAGCAUUGAAAUCAACCAGGAGGGAAGAGCGAGCACACAGCAUCAGUUCCAGAGCACUGGACAUCUCAGGAACUGAAAGCAUUUCAGAAGAUUGGAGAAUAAGAGAGGUGAGAAGCAAGGCUACCGGGAAGAGCUGGGCAGUGUUGGGAUUCAAAGAAUGUGACAAUCACUUAAGGAGUUAGAAUGUUAUUGAAUGAAUACAUUCAGUAGAUGAAUUCUUGCAGUGGUGUCAGUGGGGAAGUUACUGUUUACACUUAAGGUGUAAAAAGGUUGCUCAGGUCACGGUAUGAGAAGAGGACUAGGCUGCAGGCAAAUAGAACCGUUGUGGUGAAAACAAAAUGGCCCAAAUUAAAGUAGGUUUGUGUGAACCAGGAGACAUGGACAGAUUCAAGGGUUGUUUUGAUGAUUGGUGUGUAGGUAAGGGAGAUGAGAAAAUCCUUUUUUAUCUCUUACUCUAUUUUACACAUUCUUAUAUCCUUAUCCAAGAAAAGAGAUGACAGAGAGAGAUUUUGUUAGUGUUUUAGCAGCAAGCUGUUCUCUCAGCCACUGGGAAACAUCACUAUUAAGAAGAAAUGCCUGCCAACACAGGGCCUCUUGGCAUUACCCACCCUAUAGAAAAUGAGCCACAAUGAAAAGAAAUCUCUCAUUUAUGUGGCUGAGUGAUAUGAAGGAUGAAGCCACUUCAGCAAGGACAGCUGGCAGCUAGCCACCUGAUUCCCGAGUUUUAACAGGUAUGUUCCUCUUUGGAAGGAUGGGGAGGAGAUGGAUUCUCCAGCUGCUGCUUUUAACAGUAGAUAUCCCAGUAGGUGACAAUAUGUUUUUGCUAAACUAAAUAUACUGUUCCUAUAUUUGGUCUUCAUUUACUUUUGCAGUUCUCUUUAGCUGCUUGUGAAUUUCUAUUCCCUGAAAAUAGAGAAAGCCUUAUGAUCAAACCUAUAUUGCUGAUCAUAUAGAAAACUUGAACCAUUUCCUCCUUAUUUCACUCAUGUGAUCUUGUAAGUGUGCAAAUGAUUGUGUUGCAAGGGGGUUGAAUAUGUGAAGUUUUAGAAACUACAUAGGUGUUGUCAGAUAUAAGAUGGGACUUUCAAAUGCUGAUUUCUCCUUGCAUUUCUCUAAACAGGGAUGAACUGGUUUGAAUUUGCUGAGAACUGUAGAAUCUCAAAUUUUUUCUGAAUGAUUAUUUCCAAUAGGAUUGUGAGACAUGCUGAAUAAAUAAUAACAUGAUUUUCUGUUUUUGUACCA
rnacentral:lncRNA from 13 species